rnacentral:tRNA from 1 species
AUUUAAAUAGUUUAAAAAAAAAUAUUGAUUUGUGGAAUCAAAGUUAUAAUUUUUUAUUUUAGAUA